AGCACCAGGGGAGAGAAUGGCGUCGUACUUAAGUGAAAUCGACUUCGACCGCAGUGUCGACUGAGGUGAUAAUAGUACUUGAAAUGAGCAUCAGGAGGAUUCGGUACUAUAAAACUCGCCGGAAAAACCAAUGCCGCCCGCCAUUUUGAGUUCUUUACGUGAGUCAUGAACUUUCGCCACGGCGUUCGGAAGCAUGUAAUUGUUACUCGGAUGACAGCGUCAAACCUCAUAGCCAUGCCUUCAAUUCAGGGCCUAGGAGCGGCUGAGCCUAUUGUGAAUUGAAGGGCAAUUCGAGAAUGGCGACUAUGAGGGUGUACAAUGGAUGAUAACCGCACUUCCGAUGCGUGAUUUAAAGGAAAAGGCAGCGAACAAAUUAUUAAAUGGGGGAAGCAAGAGAUCUUGACCCGCCUUACUGUUUCAGUGUUUUUGCAAAUGACGUUUAAAGACGAAGGUCGACUCAGCCAUCUAUGCCAAGGAUUCGCUAAGCUCUGCCUUGUUAUGCUUCAUUGUAUUGCCUAUGGCCACGAAUUGGCAAGUAAAAGGCAGAUAGGUACAUUACAUCGAGCAAAAAAGAACCCCCGUUCCCCACUAUUUACCCGUCUAUGCGUAAUUAUUAACACCUGUG